AAACAAACAAAUCACACAAAAUUCUAAACAAACCAAAAUAAUGUUCAGUCCAAAUUAUACAAUUCAAAAUAAAAGAAAUGCUUAAAUAUAAAACCUAUUCUAUUCUAAACUAAUCCUAAACUAAACUCCACCCGACGUUCCGGGCCUUGAUCGCGAAUGUCCUCCAAGUACAAGAUACUUCGGGGCAUUCCCCGGAUAAAUUAAUACAAAUCCCUCGAGGCAUUCCCUGGCCAAAUUAUACAUUUUUUAAAUACGAGAAAGACGAACCAUUCCAAUGACAUUCCAAACACUCAAAUAAUCCAACAGCUCUAAAUUUGCCUACCCAACUCGGCCUACGAACAUGGCACUAUCGGGUUCAAUAACAUUCAAGCUUAUUCCAAAUUAAACAAAGCGAUGAAUCAAAAUUGAUCUAUAUUCACCCAUGUUUAUCAAUUCUUCCAUUCCAACCCAACUCCCUGCUCAACCACAGAUUAAUUAAUUCUUGGAUUAACAAAUCAAUUUUUUAUUUAUCUUCAAUAUCCAAAAUCAAACAUCAACCAUACAUAAUAAUUAUUCAUGGAUAAACACUAUCAAAUAUCAACAAAAUCAAUCGAUCACAACCAACAAACACAAGCAUAACCUCAGUUUUUGUCUUUAAACUGAAAUAAAAGAAGAGUUGAAGAAUUUGGACCUUUCGAAUAUAUUUUGACGACUUACGAAGUGAAAUAAGAGCAGUCCCAAAAAUCCUCAAUGAACAACCUCAACCACGAACAACCAACUCGGUAUUAAGACCCAAAUUGGAAAAACUGCACAACGAAAUCAAACCCGUACCAAUUUCACACCCACAGCUACUGUUUCAAUAGAUUUACGACGAACUUCGCCUGAAUCAGGACUGGUUGGGGUGACUUUGUUUCGCCGGAGCUCCGGUGAGCUCGAUCGGCUGUGAGCGUGGUUGGUUUCAAUGAUCUACAAAGGUCCCGAUGUUAUUCCGGUGGGAAUUCCCCGAAACCAAUCGUGAGGGGUCAAUUUUAGUUAGAAACGGGGGUCAAAGGAACGACACCGGAGUCGGUUCAACGGAACAGGGAACUCCGGUGGCGUUACUCUUUUUUUCUCCUCACUAUUCUCUCUCCCGAUCUCUCUCUCAAUCUCUCUCCCCCCUCUUGCAGCUCUCUCUCUCUUCUCACUGUGUUUCUCUUGAUCUCUCCUCUCAAUUCAUGUGUGUGUCUAGUGGGUGUUUGUGUGUGAGGUCAGUAAGAAGAACAAGAAGAAAAAAAUGGCCUCCCCUUGAUGAUUUUUUUUUCCUUCCCCUUGUCCGUGUCCCUAUUUGUGGAUAUAUAUCUCCCUUUUGUUUUGUUCUUUUUCUUUUAUGGAUGAUUCUCUGUGGGCCCCAUUUUGUUAUGAAAAAGGAAUAAAAAUGUAAGGG
rnacentral:lncRNA from 1 species